rnacentral:rRNA from 1 species
UACGUAGGUGUCGAGCGUUGUCCGGAUUUACUGGGCGUAAAGGGAGCGUAGGCGGACUUUUAAGUGAGAUGUGAAAUACCCGGGCUCAACUUGGGUGCUGCAUUUCAAACUGGAAGUCUAGGGUGCAGGAGAGGAGAAUGGAAUUCCUAGUGUAGCGGUGAAAUGCGUAGAGAUUAGGAAGAACACCAGUGGCGAAGGCGGCUCUCUGGCCUGUAACUGACGCUGAGGCGCGAAAGCUAGGGUAGCGAACGGGAUUAGAUACCCUGGUAGU